AAUAUAAAUUUUAAAGGGCCGCGGUACACUGACCGUGCUAAGGUAGCAUAAUCAAUAGUCUUUUAAUUGGAGACUGGAAUGAACGGCUAGAUAAAAAGUUUACUGUCUAUAUAAUAAAUCUUGAAUUUUACUUUUAAGUGAAAAGGCUUAAAUAUAUUAAAGUGACGAUAAGACCCUAUAAAACUUUAUAAUAAAUUAUGAUUAUCUUAAAUUUUAAAUCAAAAUAUAUUUCAUAUAUUACUAUUUAGUUGGGGCGACUGAGAUAUAAAAAAAUCUGUCUUUAGUAAAAAAUACUUAUAAUUAGAUCAAGAUCCUUUAUUAAGGAUUAAAAGGCUAAGUUACUUUAGGGAUAACAGCGUGAUUUUUCUUAAGAGUUCUUAUCGACAGAAUAAGUUGCGACCUCGAUGUUGAAUUAAAUUUUCUUUUAGGUGCAGGAGUUUAAAAAGUAG
rnacentral:rRNA from 1 species